ACAGAACAAUGGCGUCUCGUAGCCCCAGGCGACAGCGUGGCGGGGCGGGUCUGUCGAUUGGAUGAACGCAGCUGAGAUUACUCCCAGCCACUAAGGACGAAGAGGUGGGGCGGUGGCGUCCCACGCACCGUGCGACAGUGGGCGGGGCUCUGUUGCCUGAGUAACCGGAUGAUGGUGGUGGUGGUGGUGUCUUCCUGUCUCAACGAUACCUAUUUUCUAGUGCUGAGAUCCUGAGACAAUGAAUCAUAGUGAAAGAUUCGUUUUCAUUGCAGAGUGGUAUGAUCCAAAUGCUUCACUUCUUCGACGUUAUGAGCUUUUAUUUUACCCAGGGGAUGGAUCUGUUGAAAUGAACGCUAGCCCUAAUUAAACCAGACGCAGUAUCAAAGGCUGGAGAAAUAAUUGAAAUAAUAAACAAAGCUGGAUUUACUAUAACCAAACUCAAAAUGAUGAUGCUUUCAAGGAAAGAAGCAUUGGAUUUUCAUGUAGAUCACCAAUCAAGACCCUUUUUCAAUGAGCUGAUCCAGUUUAUUACAACUGGUCCUAUUAUUGCCAUGGAGAUUUUAAGAGAUGAUGCUAUAUGUGAAUGGAAAAGACUGCUGGGACCUGCAAACUCUGGAGUGGCACGCACAGAUGCUCCUGAAAGCAUUAGAGCCCUCUUUGGAACAGAUGGCAUAAGAAAUGCAGCGCAUGGCCCUGAUUCUUUUGCUUCUGCGGCCAGA
rnacentral:sRNA from 1 species